rnacentral:rRNA from 1 species
UACGUAGGGUGCAAGCGUUAAUCGGAAUUACUGGGCGUAAAGCGUGCGCAGGCGGUUUUGUAAGUCUGUCGUGAAAGCCCCGGGCUCAACCUGGGAAUUGCGAUGGAGACUGCAAGGCUUGAAUCUGGCAGAGGGGGGUAGAAUUCCACGUGUAGCAGUGAAAUGCGUAGAGAUGUGGAGGAACACCGAUGGCGAAGGCAGCCUCCUGGGCCAGCACUGACGCUCAUGCACGAAAGCGUGGGGAGCGAAACAGG